CAGUCGCCGCGGUAAUACGUAGGUGGCAAGCGUUGUCCGGAAUUAUUGGGCGUAAAGGGCUCGCAGGCGGUUUCUUAAGUCUGAUGUGAAAGCCCCCGGCUCAACCGGGGAGGGUCAUUGGAAACUAGGAAACUUGAGUGCAGAAGAGGAGAGUGGAAUUCCGCGUGUAGCGGUGAAAUGCGUAGAGAUGUGGAGGAACACCAGUGGCGAAGGCGACUCUCUGGUCUGUAACUGACGCUGAGGAGCGAAAGCGUGGGGAGCGAACAGGAUUAGAUACCCCUGUAGUCCCUGUCUCUUAUAC
rnacentral:rRNA from 1 species